CCUACGGGGGGCUGCAGUGGGGAAUAUUGCACAAUGGGCGCAAGCCUGAUGCAGCCAUGCCGCGUGUGUGAAGAAGGCCUUCGGGUUGUAAAGCACUUUCAGCGGGGAGGAAGGCGUUAAGGUUAAUAACCUUGGCGAUUGACGUUACCCGCAGAAGAAGCACCGGCUAACUCCGUGCCAGCAGCCGCGGUAAUACGGAGGGUGCAAGCGUUAAUCGGAAUUACUGGGCGUAAAGCGCACGCAGGCGGUCUGUCAAGUCGGAUGUGGAAAUCCCCGGGCUCAACCUGGGAACUGCAUUCGAAACUGGCAGGCUAGAGUCUUGUAGAGGGGGGUAGAAUUCCAGGUGUAGCGGUGAAAUGCGUAGAGAUCUGGAGGAAUACCGGUGGCGAAGGCGGCCCCCUGGACAAAGACUGACGCUCAGGUGCGAAAGCGUGGGGAGCAAACAGGAUUAGAUACCCGUGUAGUC
rnacentral:rRNA from 1 species